UACGGAGGGUGCAAGCGUUAAUCGGAAUUACUGGGCGUAAAGCGCACGUAGGUGGGUUGAUAAGUCAGAUGUGAAAGCCCCGGGCUUAACCUGGGAGGGUCAUCUGAUACUGUCAGUCUAGAGUACAGUAGAGGGUAGUGGAAUUUCAGGUGUAGCGGUGAAAUGCGUAGAUAUCUGAAGGAACAUCAGUAGCGAAGGCGGCUACCUGGACUGAUACUGACACUGAGGUGCGAAAGCGUGGGGAGCAAACAGG
rnacentral:rRNA from 1 species